rnacentral:lncRNA from 1 species
AUAUUAUCGAGUAAAAAAAAACUGUUUGUAUGCCUAAAAAUUAGACGUAAAUCUUACGUUCAAUAGAUCAAUAAAUUUAGAUUUUUUUAAAAAAUAAACUUCUUAUCAUGACUGUAAUUUUAGAGAGACGCGAAAGUAAAUAAUGAGUCACCCCUUCCAUUGAUAUGGACACAUCUGAGAUCAAAUCCAAAUACCAAAUACGUUCUCG